CAGACGAAGAGGGGAGAGACAAAUCAGAGGGGAGUAGCGAUGAAGAAGAGGGGAGCGGCGCCGGCGACCGGCGACCAGCGACCAACAACCAGCAAAAUUUCUUUCGAAACACACCCACACAAAACACACAAGUCUGGAUCAAAGUUCUCUUUUGAAGCAAUAUUGCAUCAAAGCAAUACACAUAACACAUCCACUCAGAGACGAAAUUUCUUUUCCCUCUUUCAAUCAAACCUAACGUUUCUCUCCGUGAGCCCUUUUAAUUUGCCAUCGAUCGAAGCAAGCGGCAAGCCCUAAGCCCUAAAUGAUAACGCACGGCUCAGAGAUGAAACCCUAAGUCUGAAGAUUGUGUUUGAAUUUCUCUAACCUCUCUCGCCCUUUGUCUAAUCAGAAGGGAAAGUCUUGUUGGUGUUUGCUGGACCAAUAAGUGAGAAUCUCACGACAUUUUCUGAAGGAGGAGGAAACUCAGCUCUCUGUCUCCUCUCCUGGGCUUUUUGACAUCUAAUCUUCAGGUCAGUUGAUCUUUGCAAUAGUUUCUCUUGCUCUGGUUUUGUUUAUUUCUAUAUGUUGUUUUGUUGGUACUUUUUGGUAGUAGUUUCUUGACUACAUUUUGUUUAUGUUUGGUUUAUAAAUGAUAAUCUUGUUCUUUCCCUUUUAUUAUUAGUAUUCUGAAUUUGAGACUUGUGUGAUGCAGCUACUUGCUUGGAUUUUGUACCAUGGACACUGAGGUGGUUUUUUGACAAGUGCAGAUUGAAACUCAAGUGCUAGAAGGUUUAUCAAUUUUUCAACAAAAGUGUUAGGAAAUUGAUGAUUUUCUUGACAAAUGGAUUUACUUUCUGUUUUGGAACAUUGAUAAAUGUUGAAUUAUUUUGGCACAUUGAUAAAUAAUGAAUUGUAAAAAUGUUUUAACUUUUUUGAUAUAUUUA